rnacentral:rRNA from 1 species
GUGUCAGCAGCCGCGGUAACACGGGGGGAGCAAGCGUUGUCCGGAUUUACUGGGCGUGAAGCGCGCGUAGGCGGUCCAUUAAGUCGGCUGUGAAAGCGCUGGGCUCAACCCAGCAAGGUCAGUCGAUACUGGUGGACUCGAGUCCGGGAGAGGGAAGCGGAAUUGCUGGUGUAGCGGUGGAAUGCGUAGAUAUCAGCAAGAACACCGGUGGCGAAGGCGGCUUCCUGGACCGGCACUGACGCUGAGGCGCGAAAGCUAGGGGAGCGAACCGGAUUAGAUACCCGGGUAGUCCUAGCUGUAAACGAUGGUCACUAGGUGUUGGGGGUAUCGACCCCCCCAGUGCCGCAGCUAACGCAUUAAGUGACCCGCCUGGGGAGUACGGCCGCAAGGCUGAAACUCAAAUGAAUUGACGGGG